AUGGGUGGAUAGACAAAUGGAUGGAUGGAUGGAUGGAUAGAUGAGUGGAUGGAUGGAUGAAUGGAUGGUAGAUGGGUGGAUUAAUGGAUGGGUGAGUAGGUAGGUAGAU